UUGCAGUUAAAAAGCUCGUAGUUGGAUUUCGGAGUGGGCCAGUUGGUCCGCCGCAAGGUGUGUUACUGACUGGUUUGCUCUUCUUCGCAAAGACUGCGUGUGCUCUUCAGUGAGUGUGCGUAGGAUUUACGACGUUUACUUUGAAAAAAUUAGAGUGUUCAAAGCAGGCUAUUGCUUGAAUACAUGAGCAUGGAAUAAUGGAAUAGGACUUUGGUCCCAUUUUGUUGGUUUCUAGGGCCGAAGUAAUGAUUAAGAGGGACAGUUGGGGGCAUUCGUAUUUCGUUGUCAGAGGUGAAAUUCUUGGAUUUACGAAAGACGAACAAUUGCGAAAGCAUUUGCCAAGAAUGUUUUCAUUAAUCAAGAACGAAAGUUAGAGGAUCGAAGACGAUCAGAUACCGUCCUAGUUCUAACCAUAAACGAUGUCGACUAGGGAUCAGCGAACGUCUAAUGCGACUUCGUUGGCACCUUACGGGAAACCAAAGUUUUUGGAUUCCGGGGGAAGUAUGGUUGCAAAACUGAAACUUAAAAGGAAUUGACGGAAGGGGCACCACCA
rnacentral:rRNA from 1 species